rnacentral:rRNA from 1 species
GACGAACGCUGGCGGCGUGCUUAACACAUGCAAGUCGAGCGGUAAGGCCCUUUCGGGGGUACACGAGCGGCGAACGGGUGAGUAACACGUGGGUGACCUGCCCUCAGCUCUGGGAUAAGCCCGGGAAACUGGGUCUAAUACCGGAUAUGACUCCAUGACGCAUGUUGUGGGGUGGAAAGCCUUGUGCGGCUGAGGAUGGGCCCGCGGCCUAUCAGCUUGUUGGUGGGGUGANGGCCUACCAAGGCGACGACGGGUGGCCGGCCUGAGAGGGCGACCGGCCACACUGGGACUGAGACACGGCCCAGACUCCUACGGGAGGCAGCAGUGGGGAAUCUUGCGCAAUGGGCGAAAGCCUGACGCAGCGACGCCGCGUGAGGGAUGACGGCCU